GUUCCAACAUACCCAUAAGAGGGGGAUAACUAGUUGAAAACUAGCUAAUACCCCAUAGCAUAUUUUACAUAAGUAUUGAUAUUUAAAGUUGCAUUUGCAACACUUUUGGAUUGGGGUGCGACGUAUUAGAUUGUCGGUGAGGUAAUGGCUCACCAAGUCGAUGAUGCGUAGCUGUGCUGAGAGGCAGAACAGCCACAAUGGGACUGAGACACGGCCAUACUUCUACGGAAGGCAGCAGUAGGGAAUUUUCCACAAUGGACGAAAGUCUGAUGGAGCAAUCCCGCGUGAAUGAUGAAGGUCCUACAAGAUUGUAAAGUUCUUUUAUUGGGGAAGAAAUGUAAGAAAAGGAAAUGUUUCUUAUUUGACGGACCCUUUGAAUAAGUAUGCU
rnacentral:rRNA from 1 species